AGGAUCACAAACCAGGCCCUGCCCAGUGAAAGCCAAGAAUGAUACCACUACUGUUGUGGAUGCUUCCUGAAGCCACUGGAAUCCUCCAUGGCGGUUGAGAACUCAACAGGGAGAUUUGCUGUGUCACCUCACAGAGCGACUUGUGAAGGGAUAACAACUGAAGUGAACAGUGGAGAUUUACACCAUCCUACCACAAGGCUUCAUUUUCACUUUCACUUUCACCACAAGGGUGGCAAGUGUUCAAAGGUGAAGAGGCAUUUAUGGCGACACUAACAGCCAGUUUUUCUUCACAUUCAAGGUUAUAGAUUUUUUAAAAGGAUCCAUCCCAGAAUCCCACACUGAACUUAUUCAUCCAGAAUCUUGGAUUCUGAACCGCAGAUUCAACCAACUACGGACAGUCAAAGUCAAGAAAUGGGAAGCUCUUCAGUUAUAUGCUCAAUGAAAACUUCAUGCCACUGGCACACAAGCUUUCCCUCCAAGUCGAGCUGAUCCUGGCACGGAACCUGGCUUCAUGAGACACAAAUGCCAGUUUUCUUUCCAGAGCUGAUGCCUUGAGGGUACCCGGAUUUUCACUGGAAGAGAGUACCAUAGCCCAAAAAAGCAAGGAGCCAUCAGGUUGCCAGAAAAUGCAUGGCACUCUGUGCCAGGCCCGAAGCCGCAGCCACCACAGGACGGGAGGAGAACUCCACUCAUGUCAGAUGGAUAAGCCCAGAAGAGUGGAGCACAGUGAGUAUAAAUGGCUUCUGAAAUUGCUAAAGGGUUCCCGGUUCAGUGUUAACUUGGUCAACUUUUGUGGGUCUUUUUCUCAUUUUGUUAGCCUGUAGUCUGUGCCAUG
rnacentral:lncRNA from 1 species